rnacentral:rRNA from 1 species
GUACCUACGGGACGCAGCAGUGGGGAAUAUUGCACAAUGGGGGAAACCCUGAUGCAGCGACGCCGCGUGAGUGAAGAAGUCAUUCGUGAUGUAAAGCUCUAUCAGCAGGGAAGAAAAUGACGGUACCUGACCAAGAAGCCCCGGCUAACUACGUGCCAGCAGCCGCGGUAAUACGUAGGGGGCAAGCGUUAUCCGGAUUUACUGGGUGUAAAGGGAGCGUAGACGGUUGCGCAAGUCUGGAGUG